GCAUGUCCAUGAUGGGUUUGAUGAAUGUCUUCUCCCUCCAGGUUUGAGUUUGAUGGAUCCUCUGCUGUGGAGAGAGUUGUUGGAGGCCGUAGAAUAAGUAAAGAAGGCAGCUGCACUGGCUGUGAAAUAUUUCUGGCUUGCAGUGAUGCACACAGACUGAGCUCAUCCCUAGCAACCGGAGUAUGUCACACAUUGCCAAGCCCAACUUCAGCUUUGCAUAAACCAGGCCAUUUUCACUGCCUUUCUGGACCAUGCACAACUGAGAUCACCAUGGCUUGGUAACACAUUUAUAGACCCAUUACACAUCAUCUGGAGGAAGGAAGACACAAAGGACUUUGAUAGCAUAAAGGGUUGAAAUAUGAAAAGCCAGGAGUAUGAAAGGGGAAGAAGGUGGUGUGUUCCUGUACUGUUCAUCAAAUCAGGAUAUGAGAGGAGAGCUGGGCCAUCUUGUUGUGCAGCUCCGAAGCACAGUCAGGCCUGAGACUGAGACGGCGGGGAGGAGAUUUAUGACCGGCAAAAAAAGCCCAAAAAACAAAAAACGGGGCCUGGCUUCUGUACCCAGUGUUGGCCUACCAAUGAAGACACGGCUGGAAAAAGUAAGUCCACAAAAACAUCUAGAUUAUUUUAGUAUUCAAAUUGUAUCUUUGAAUAAAAUC
rnacentral:lncRNA from 1 species